UUGGAGAAAGACGACCUCGAGAAAGAAAAGCGAUUUGGAGGCUUAUUUGGAAAGUAAUAUUUCAGGCUCCACCGUAGUGUUGAGGAAAGAAUCAAAUUUAUAAACAGAGGACAAGGUUCAGCAUCCCAGCUGCCGCCAGGUGGUGCAGUGAACCCAGCAUUGGCUCCAGCGUCAGGGAGAUUGAAGCUGGAAUUUGGACUCCGACAUUGACCAGCUAUGUGACCCUGGACCAGUCACUUCACCUCUGCCUGCUCUCAGACUAUAUUUCUAGAAGGAAGAUCUAAUACUAUAUGCAUAUCUAUAGAAGGAAGAUAAUCCCAGUUGAUCCGUUCUCUCUCUGGAGGUGGAGAACAUUCUUUGUCAAGCCGGAUGACAUCUGAUCAGGGAUCUUGCAGAAAGGAGCCAGGACUCAGGGAGACCAGAUUCUUCAGAUUCCAAAUCUUCUGCUCUUUCCAGGCUGCCUUCCAGAUUGGCUAACCCAGCCCAGUGGAGUUCCAUAUUUCUCUUUGGAGGAACGAAGAGAUGCUGUUUGCGUGGAUAGGUCCUCCGAUAAGCUUCUUUGUAUAAGCUUUUUUUCUAUAGGACUGAAGAGACUCAGAAUUAGCCUCUUCCAAAUCUCAUUUUAUUAUGUGAAAUAAAAGAAGAUGGUGGAAGAU
rnacentral:lncRNA from 1 species